rnacentral:rRNA from 1 species
UACAGGGGGUGCAAACGUUGCUCGGAAUCAUUGGGCGUAAAGCGCACGUAGGCGGUUCGUUAUGUCGGAUGUGAAAGCCCUUGGCUUAACCGAGGAAGUGCAUCCGAAACUGGCGAGCUAGAGUACUAAAGAGGAUCGCGGAAUUCCCGGUGUAGAGGUGAAAUUCGUAGAUAUCGGGAGGAACACCAGUGGCGAAGGCGGCUCACUGGCCCGAUACUGACGCUGAGGCACGGAAAGCGAUGGGGAGCAAACAGG